GGGUAGGUGGCCGAGCGGCUAAUGGCACCAGACUGUAAAUCUGGCACUCGAGAGGGUUACGGAGGUUCGAAUCCUCCCCUGCCCA
rfam:Leptonema illini DSM 21528 genomic scaffold Lepilscaffold_1, whole genome shotgun sequence.